GAUGAACGCUGGCGGCGUGCCUAAUACAUGCAAGUCGAGCGAACAGAUUAGAAGCUUGCUUCUAUGACGUUAGCGGCGGACGGGUGAGUAACACGUUGGCUACCUUCCUGUAAGAAUGGGAUAAAUUUGGGAAACCGAAGGUAAUUCCGGAUUGGAUCUUCUCAUUCCUGGGUGAUGAUUGAAAGAUGGUUUCGGCUAUCACUUACAGAUGGGCCCGCGCUGCAUUAGCUAGUUGGUGAGGUAACGGCUCACCAAGGCAACGAUGCAUAGCCGACCUGAGAGGGUGAUCGGCCACACUGGGACUGAGACACGGUCCAGACUCCUACGGGAGGCAGCAGUAGGGAAUCUUCCGCAAUGGACGAAAGUCUGACGGAGCAACGCCGCGUGAGUGAUGAAGGUUUUCGGGUCGUAAAACUCUGUUGUUAGGGAAGAACAAGUGCGUGAGUAACUGUUCGUACCUUGACGGUACCUAAUCAGAAAGCCACGGCUAACUACGUGCCAGCAGCCGCGGUAAUACGUAGGUGGCAAGCGUUAUCCGGAAUUAUUGGGCGUAAAGCGCGCGCAGGCGGUUUUUUAAGUCUGAUGUGAAAGCCCACGGCUCAACCGUGGAGGGUCAUUGGAAACUGGGGAACUUGAGUGCAGAAGAGAAAAGCGGAAUUCCACGUGUAGCGGUGAAAUGCGCAGAGAU
rnacentral:rRNA from 1 species